CAGCCGCCGCGGUAAAACGGAGGGGGCUAGCGUUGUUCGGAAUUACUGGGCGUAAAGCGCACGUAGGCGGUUUGGCAAGUUUGGUGUGAAAUCUUCGGGCUCAACUCGAAGUCUGCAUCGAAAACUGCCGGGCUUGAGUAUGGGAGAGGUGAGUGGAAUUUCCGGUGUAGCGGUGAAAUGCGUAGAUAUCGGAAGGAACACCUGAGGCGAAAGCGGCUCACUGGACCAUUACUGACGCUGAGGCGCGAAAGCUAGGGGAGCAAACAGGAUUAGAGACCCCUGUAGUCCCUGUCUCUUAUAU
rnacentral:rRNA from 1 species